GGCUCAGGACGAACGCUGGCGGCGUGCCUAACACAUGCAAGUCGAGCGGAGACAUAUUUGAAGAGGAAGUUUCGGAUGGAAUUGGAAAGAUAUGUUUAGCGGCGGACGGGUGAGUAACGCGUGAGCAAUCUGUCCUUCACAGGGGAUAACACAGCGAAAGUUGUACUAAUACCGCAUAAGACCACAGAGUCACAUGACACAGGGGUCAAAGGAGCAAUCCGGUGAAGGGUGAGCUCGCGUCCGAUUAGAUAGUUGGUGAGGCAACGGCCCACCAAGUCGACGAUCGGUAGCCGACCUGAGAGGGUGAUCGGCCACAUUGGGACUGAGACACGGCCCAAACUCCUACGGGAGGCAGCAGUGGGGAAUAUUGGGCAAUGGGUGGAACCCUGAACCCCAGCAACGCCGCGUGAGGGAAGAAGGUUUUCGGAUCGUAAACCUCUGUCCUUGGUGAAGAGCAAGAGACGGUAGCCAAGGAGGAAGCCCCGGCUAACUACGUGCCAGCAGCUGC
rnacentral:rRNA from 1 species